AUAGCGUAUAUUUAAGUUGUUGCAGUUAAAAAGCUCGUAGUCGGAUUUUGGCUGAGAACGGUCGGUCCGCCGUUAGGUGUGCACUGACUGGUCUCAGCUUCCUGGUGAGGAGGUGUGCUUCAUCGCCACUUAGUCACCGUGGUUACUUUGAAAAAAUUAGAGUGUUCAAAGCGGGCUUACGCUUGAAUAUAUUAGCAUGGAAUAACACCAUAGGACUCCUGUCCUAUUUCGUUGGUCUCGGGACGGGAGUAAUGAUUAAGAGGAACAGUUGGGGGCAUUCGUAUUUCAUUGUCAGAGGUGAAAUUCUUGGAUUUAUGAAAGACGAACUUCUGCGAAAGCAUUUGCCAAGGAUGUUUUCAUUGAUCAAGAACGAAAGUUGGGGGCUCGAAGAUGAUUAGAUACCAUCCUAGUCUCAACCAUAAACGAUGCCGACUAGGGAUUGGCGGAUGUCAAUUGAUGACUUCGCCAGCACCUUAUGAGAAAUCAAAGUUUUUGGGUUCCGGGGGGAGUAUGGUCGCAAGGCUGAAACUUAAAGGAAUU
rnacentral:rRNA from 1 species